CCAGCAGCCAGGGGACUGGUUGGCUGAUUGUAGGAAAGGGCAUUGAAACAGAGGGGAUUAGGGUAUUGAGCUAUAUUAAAGAACAAUUGAAGAUGUUGAAUGUUAAAGAAAAAAAGUCCAGUCUUCAGAAAGACAGAGAAGGUUACUAAAAAGUUAACAGGAAGGGAUGAUGCCAUUAACAUAAAGGUUUGUUUGUUUAUUUGUUUCAGGAGGAAAUGGGGAAGGGAGACAUCUAGAAAUGUCACUAAAGACAAAAGAUUAUACUCCCCCUAUUUUCUGCAUGAAGGAAUACAGUCUCACAAAUAAACCAUCUCUUUUUGAGAUGUGGUGGAGAAACAACAUUCUCAGUAAUUAUCAGCUGAGAGGUAUGAGGAUGAAGAGUUCUGAACUUUCUAAUAGAAGAAGACCAGACUAUAAUUAAAUAAUUUAAAAAUGCAUAAUAUGUAAUAAUAAUAACAGUAAUACUAGUCAACAAAUGAAUCCAUUGGAUAAUGGAAAGUUAACUAAAUAAACUUGUCUCUGUUUGC
rnacentral:lncRNA from 1 species